GACGUAGGGCGCGAGCGUUGUCCGGAUUUAUUGGGCGUAAAGAGCUCGUAGGCGGUUUGUCGCGUCUGCCGUGAAAGUCCGGGGCUCAACUCCGGAUCUGCGGUGGGUACGGGCAGACUAGAGUGAUGUAGGGGAGACUGGAAUUCCUGGUGUAGCGGUGAAAUGCGCAGAUAUCAGGAGGAACACCAAUGGCGAAGGCAGAUCUCUGGGCCGUAACUGACGCUGAGGAGCGAAAGCAUGGGGAGCGAACAGG
rnacentral:rRNA from 1 species